rnacentral:rRNA from 1 species
UGGGGAAUAUUGGACAAUGGGCGAAAGCCUGAUCCAGCCAUGCCGCGUGUGUGAAGAAGGUCUUCGGAUUGUAAAGCACUUUACGUUGGGAGGAAGGGCAUUAACCUAAUACGUUGGUGUCUUGACGUUACCGACAGAAUAAGCACCGUCUAACUCUGUGCCAGCAGCCGCGGUAAUACAGAGGGUGCAAGCGUUAAUCGGAAUUACUGGGCGUAAAGCGCGCGUAGGUGGUUCGUUAAGUUGGAUGUGAAAUCCCCGGGCUCAACCUGGGAACUGCAUUCAAAACUGACGAGAUAGAGGAUGGUAGAGGGUGGUGGAAUCUCCUGUAUAGCGGUGAAAUGCGUAGAUAUAGGAAGGAACACCAGUGGCGAAGGCGACCACCUGGACUGAUACUGACACUGAGGUGCGAAAGCGUGGGGAGCAAACA